rnacentral:rRNA from 1 species
UGAGCUGGGGGUGGCCGCAGAGACCAGCGAGAAGCGACUGUUUACUAAAAACACAGGUCCGUGCGAAGCCGUAAGGCGAUGUAUACGGACUGACGCCUGCCCGGUGCUGGAACGUUAAGGGGACCGGUUAGCUCCAUUUCGGUGGGGCGAAGCUGAGAACUUAAGCGCCAGUAAACGGCGGUGGUAACUAUAACCAUCCUAAGGUAGCGAAAUUCCUUGUCGGGUAAGUUCCGACCUGCACGAAUGGCGUAACGACUUCUCGACUGUCUCAACCAUAGGCCCGGUGAAAUUGCAUUACGAGUAAAGAUGCUCGUUUCGCGCAGCAGGACGGAAAGACCCCGGGACCUUUACUAUAGCUUGAUAUUGGUGUUCGGUUCGGCUUGUGUAGGAUAGGUGGGAGACUUUGAAGCGCCAACGCCAGUUGGUGUGGAGUCGUUGUUGAAAUACCACUCUGGUCGUGCUGGAUGUCUAACCUGGGUCCGUGAUCCGGAUCAGGGACAGUGUCUGGUGGGUAGUUUAACUGGGGCGGUUGCCUCCUAAAGGGUAACGGAGGCGCCCAAAGGUUCCCUCAGCCUGGUUGGUAAUCAGGUGUUGAGUGUAAGUGCACAAGGGAGCUUGACUGUGAGACUGACGGGUCGAGCAGGUACGAAAGUAGGGACUAGUGAUCCGGCGGUGGCUUGUGGAAGCGCCGUCGCUCAACGGAUAAAAGGUACCCCGGGGAUAACAGGCUGAUCUUCCCCAAGAGUCCAUAUCGACGGGAUGGUUUGGCACCUCGAUGUCGGCUCGUCGCAUCCUGGGGCUGGAGUCGGUCCCAAGGGUUGGGCUGUUCGCCCAUUAAAGCGGUACGCGAGCUGGGUUUAGAACGUCGUGAGACAGUUCGGUCCCUAUCCGCUGCGCGCGUAGGAGUCUUGAGAAGGGCUGUCCCUAGUACGAGAGGACCGGGACGGACGGACCUCUGGUGUGCCAGUUGUUCUGCCAAGGGCAUGGCUGGUUGGCUACGUUCGGAAAGGAUAACCGCUGAAAGCAUCUAAGCGGGAAGCCUGCUUCGAGAUGAGGGCUCCCACCCACUUGAUGGGGUAAGGCUCCCAGUAGAUGACUGGGUUGAUAGGCCAGAUAUGGAAGCGCCGUAAGGUGUGGAGUUGACUGGUACUAAUAGGCCGAGGGCUUGUCCUC